rnacentral:rRNA from 1 species
UACAGAGGGUGCAAGCGUUGUCCGGAAUCACUGGGCGUAAAGGGCGCGUAGGCGGCCUGAUAAGUCGGGGGUGAAAUUCUGCGGCUUAACCGCAGGACGGCCUUCGAGACUGUCGGGCUUGAGCACGGUAGAGGCAGGUGGAAUUCCCGGUGUAGCGGUGGAAUGCGUAGAGAUCGGGAAGAACAUCGGUGGCGAAGGCGGCCUGCUGGGCCGUUGCUGACGCUGAGGCGCGAAAGCUAGGGGAGCGAACAGG